AAAACGGUGGCUCUCGCCACCACCAACCCAUGAAUAAUAUUUGGUU
rfam:Monoraphidium neglectum strain SAG 48.87 unplaced genomic scaffold scaffold02715, whole genome shotgun sequence.